CGCGUAGGCGGUUCGCUAAGUCGGAUGUGAAAACUCUGGGCUCAACCCAGAGCCUGCAUCCGAAACUGGCGGGCUGGAGUUCUGGAGGGGGUAGCGGAAUUCCCGGUGUAGCGGUGAAAUGCGUAGAUAUCAGGAGGAACACCGGUGGCGAAGGCGGCUACCUGGACAGAAACUGACGCUGAGGCGCGAAAGCUAGGGGAGCAAACA
rnacentral:rRNA from 1 species